GACGAACGCUGGCGGCAGGCCUAACACAUGCAAGUCGAGCGGAUGACGGGAGCUUGCUCCUUGAUUCAGCGGCGGACGGGUGAGUAAUGCCUAGGAAUCUGCCUGGUAGUGGGGGACAACGUUUCGAAAGGAACGCUAAUACCGCAUACGUCCUACGGGAGAAAGCAGGGGACCUUCGGGCCUUGCGCUAUCAGAUGAGCCUAGGUCGGAUUAGCUAGUAGGUGAGGUAAUGGCUCACCUAGGCGACGAUCCGUAACUGGUCUGAGAGGAUGAUCAGUCACACUGGAACUGAGACACGGUCCAGACUCCUACGGGAGGCAGCAGUGGGGAAUAUUGGACAAUGGGCGAAAGCCUGAUCCAGCCAUGCCGCGUGUGUGAAGAAGGUCUUCGGAUUGUAAAGCACUUUAAGUUGGGAGGAAGGGCAGUAAGCUAAUACCUUGCUGUUUUGACGUUACCGACAGAAUAAGCACCGGCUAACUCUGUGCCAGCCGCCGCUGUAACAC
rnacentral:rRNA from 1 species